GAAAUGCGAUAAGUAAUGUGAAUUGCAGAAUUCCGUGAAUCAUCGAAUCUUUGAACGCACAUUGCGCCCUCCGGUAUUCCGGAGGGCAUGCCUGUCCGAGCGUCAUCAACCCACCUCAAGCCUCGCUUGGUGUUGGGCGUCGCGGCCGCCGCGCGCCCUAACGUCCCCGGCCGAGCCGGCCGUCCCGAAGCGUUGUGGCGUCUACUGUGCCGCUUCCGGGACCGGUCUGGCGGUGCGCCGUCAAACCCCCUUCAUCAAAGGUGGACCUCGGAUCAGGCAGGGUUACCCGCUGAACUUAA
rnacentral:misc_RNA from 1 species